rnacentral:sRNA from 1 species
GCUGAGCAUGUUGGCACACACCUGUAAUCCCAGCGACUUGAGAAGCUGAGGCAGGGGGAUCACAAAUUUGAGGUCAGCCUCAACAACUUAGUGAGACCCUGUCUCAA